UAUAAUAUAUAAUAUUUAAAUUUUCGCGCGAUUUAAUAUAAGAAAUUUUACAUACGAUUCAGCCAAUCAGAAAGAAUGCAACAGCGAAGUAACGAGACGAAACAGUGCGCAUCUUAGUAUGCAUGGCGCCUGUUUACCAUCGAAAUUCAUGGACACGGGACGUGUAUUACUGCUUAACAAGUGAUAGCCGAUCUGGUUACGAGCAUAAACAUCUGGAAAUUGGAGAUUCGUAUUCGUGAAUGCUUGGCUUUUGUUAAUUACCUAUCGAACAUCGCCCCCUUCUCUUCCCCCAUCGCCAUUACUAAUUUCGGUAAUCGAAAUUAUAUCGCAGUCCGCCAUUUUGUCGUUGAAAAUCGCAACAAUUAGAAGCUUCUUUUCGCAACAGGCAGUUGUCGAGAAACCUCAAGACGGGAGAAAAUGUAUUUUAAUAUGGAUACCACAGUAACGGUUUGAUAUAAUUUCUCAUCAAUAGUUCUUUUACGGAGAAAUGAUAUUUCUCAAAGCACGACAUUCCAUAGAUCACGACAAUUGAUGGCAACGCAGAUUCUUCGCAUCUAAUGAUGAGUCGCAUGCAUUUUUGUUCCUCUGGUUACUCAAUCAUGUCGCAGGCUGAAAGAUCCGAAUCGACACGAAUAACUGGUAUACGUAGAAUUUCGCACGAGCACAGUGACCAUGGAUAUGUAUAAUAUCCAUUUAACCAUUUCAUAUCUAUUACCAGGACUUCACUCGCGUGCUCAGAUGAAUACUUGAAUGAAAAGGAGGUGAUGGGUAUAAUGAUCACAUUUGAUAAAUUGGAGAUUUACGCAAUGAUCAUCAGCCAUCGUCAGUCAUAUUUAAGGAAAAUUAUACGUAAAGUUAGAGUGUGAAAAUAAUGUACCAAGUUCGGGUGGCGGAGGCGUCCUGGAACGUUUUCCCUAGAGUAGAUUUUUGCGCCCGAGUAUUAUGCGUGAGAAACGUGAAAUGAAUGUGUUGGUAUGUCUGUUUUGCAAUUUUUUAAAUAUAUGUUUUGCAAUUUUUUAAAUAUAUAUAUAAGACUAGGUAGGAUAAAUAGUAUACUUCUGCGUUUGCCUGUCAUAAUAAUAAACUAGGGCCGGACAGGUUGUCAUAGUUUCUUGUCGGGUAGCCGCGUUUUUGCGUGACAACCUGUUUCAGGAAAUCAAAUUUGAAAGAUCGAGUCUGAGGUUGAGACCAGUGGUUAUCAAUGAUCACGCAUUUCUGGCUUUGUUUUCGAAUUCGAUUUUUCGAAUUUCGCGGUUAUAGUUACGAAUUAAAUUUCGAAACGAACGUCGAGUUCGAGAUUCUGCACAUGUAUAGACACGAUCACUGCGAUCGUUAUUUUUUGUGCGAUUAGGAAAUCUCGAGUCUAGUUGUAAGUUUCAGCGAGCAUUGCGCUCGGAGAAAGAAGACAGAAAAGGCCCGACAAACUGUUGCGAAGAAGGCUGCAACGAAUGGCUUCUCAUUUUUUGGAUUUUUUUUGGGGGUCCAAAGAAUGGGAAGUCAUUAUGUAAGUUUCACAGUACUCGUUUCAGUAGUAAUUGUUGUGUUGUAUUUUAUCUGGCCUUUUGCAUGCUGGCCCAUCAUCUUGAUCUAGUUAUUGUGGGAAAUUUGCGAUUUUGUUAAUUAAUGUUGUAAUUGUAGUUUACAAAUCUCGCGUUUUGAAUUAGCGUUGCGAUAAAAUGAUGAUCAGAUUUGCUUUAGUGUUACGUUAUAAGAAAUAUCGCGAUUGCUUUUUAUUAAUUUGAAUAUGAAGUAGUCUAUUUUUUUAUUUUUGAAUGUAUCAUAUAAAGUUACAAUUUAUGAUAUUGAGAUCUUGGAAAUUAUUUUUUAUUUAUAGAAUAAUAAUGAUAAUAAUAUUUUGGUUUUAAAUUCAAAUUUAAGAAUUAGUUUUACGUUGAUAGUCAUUGAUAUGGCUAUAAUCUUCCGCUUUUAGUGUGCUUUAGUGUUGCGUAUAUUAAAGUAUGAGUGCAUAAAUUCAUAAUUUAAUUGUAUGAUGUAUUUUUGCGAAUUGUCUUUUCUUUCCUUCUUUUUUAUUUGUUUUUUUUAUUAAGUAUAUAUAUAUUUAUUAUCGCUUAUAUAUUAAGGCAUAAACUCUUCGCGUUUUCUUUUAAAAAUUUGUUAUAUUAGUGUUGCGAAAUAAAAUAUUCCACUCACGGUUUGUUCGGGUCGUUUGCAUUGAAUGGAUGAUUUUAGGUAGCCCUUCUGGCUGCCUUUUUGUCUUUUUUUUCAGUUCCUUAACGGAGUAUUUGUUAUAGAAAAUAUAGUUGAAGUAUACAUUUUUUGUCACUAUUGAAUUUGUUUUAAUUGUUAUGAUAUUGUACAAAAUUAUUUUUACAAUGAAAUGUUUAAGUCAAUUCAAA
rnacentral:lncRNA from 1 species